GCCGGGGUGGUGAAACUGGCAGACACGCAAGGUUGAGGGCCUUGUGGGAUUAUAUCCUGUGCGGGUCCGAAUCCCGCCCCCGGCA
rnacentral:tRNA from 1 species